UAUACAACGAAGAGUUUGAUCCUGGCUCAGGAUGAACGCUAGCGACAGGCCUAACACAUGCAAGUCGAGGGGCAGCGCGGAGGUAGCAAUACCUUUGGCGGCGACCGGCGCACGGGUGAGUAACACGUAUGCAAUCUGCCUGUAACAGGGGGAUAACCCGGAGAAAUCCGGCCUAAUACCCCAUAACGACAUGGUUUCGCAUGGGACGAUGUCUAAAGAGAGCAAUCUUGGUUACAGAUGAGCAUGCGGUCCAUUAGCCAGUUGGCGGGGUAACGGCCCACCAAAGCGACGAUGGAUAGGGGUUCUGAGAGGAAGGUCCCCCACAUUGGAACUGAGACACGG
rnacentral:rRNA from 1 species